GGGGGUCAGGACUGCAGCUGGGUUGGUAGAGUCCUUGUCUGCCAUGCUUGAGUCUGUCUUUAGUGGUGUGCAAAGACAAAACCAAACCGAAAGCAACACCCAAUCAAAAGCCAUUCUAUUGGCACCUCUGAUUUCCAGGUUAAGAGAAGGAGGCCCACAUUUAACCCCGUGGGCCCUGCAGAUAACACUGAGAAGAUUUGACAAGUAACUGAAUUCUGAUCGUGGGAAGAGGAGGUAAAGCCUGCCCUUUACUUAAGGAACCAUAAGGGUAGAUGAAUGAGAAAGUGAUCCAGGACUGAGAUUUUAAUCUUUCUUGUGAUGCAUAUUCAUGUAUUUAUAUAUCCCCCCUCUCUUGCUUUUUCUCUUUUCUGACUAGAAAAUGAAAACGUGUGUAUAUAGUUUUUAGUGUUUACUCUUUUUUUUAAAAAAAGGAUUUAUUUAUUUUAUCCUCUAUGUAUGAGUACUUUGCCUGCAUGCAUGAUGCGCACCACAGAAAGAGGCAUGAAAUCCUCUGAAGCUGGAGUUAUGGUUGUUCAUCAUGUGAGUGCUGAGAACGGAGCCAGGGUCCUCUGCGAGAGCAGUAUGUGCGCUUAACUACUGAGUCGUCUCUCCAGCUCCGAGAGUUUACUUUUUUGGACAACUAUAGCCCUGUGGUUUGUUCAGUAGUGGGAGGGCACAGAGGAAAGUUAAAUCCUCCGGAACUGGCUACUCUGUUUCCUUUCCUUGACAUCCUCUUUCUUUAUGCUAACAGAGAAAGUCAGCUGCACUUGGGUCAGGAAUAGGACCUGAACAUGUAGGUUUUGUCUUGCCUUUAUAGAGGUACCCUUCCUAUAACUCUUGAGACAGGCCUAUUCACCCCUUCAAACCUGCACAAGCAGAAGGAAAAAUAACACCCAUUUAUUUUUAGAAUCUUUUUUUUUUCAGAAGUCAAUCUAAAAAUAAACUUGGCCUCAAUUUCCCGCUGUAGGUGCUAAACUACUUGCCCUAAACUAGAGAUAAGAUUUAUUUACUUAUUUAUAUUACGAUGUUGGGGACAGAACAUGGGAUUUUUUUUUUUUUUUUGGUAUGCUACAUGAGUGGUCUACCAUUGAGCUACAUCCUCAGCUCAUUCUUAUAAAUUAGUAUCAUAUGUAAUAAGUAUACUCGAUACCUAAGUAGCUAAAGGAACAGUAAAGUAAAUAUAUUGUGUCAUGUGUUAUUUCUGGAGAUGAAGUUAAAAGUCUGGACUUAUUUUAAAUUAUGUUCAUAUUUUUGCUUUCUGUUUAUCCAUAGCAGCUAGACAAGCUUUUGCAUAUUCUCACCCCAGCAGGCAGCACAUCUGAACAGGGUUUAUUGUAUAAUUUCCCAGGAAUAGAAAGAGUGGCACAGUUUGAAUGGCAUGUGGAUUGUGAAAAGGCAUUAAUAUAUUCUUUUUGAUCUCAGUAAGUUUCAAAUUGAGGCAACACACACACACACGGGGGGGGGCAGGUUGGGGAGAGAGAGAGAAACAAUCUGCAAGGUAGGCCAAGCAAAAAUGUAGGGCUCAUGU
rnacentral:lncRNA from 1 species